AAAAAAUAUUGACUGACUUUGGAUUUUUUUUUGGAACAUGUAAAGUUUUUGGAAGGCCCUCCUUUUUUAGGAAAUUUUAUAGGCGCAUGUAUGAUUGUUUAGUUUUUAUUUUUUAUGUGAUGCUUUUUCUAUUUUGGUUAAAAAACAGAUAAAUACUUGGUUUAUAUUUUUAAUUUUUAUGUGUUACUAUUAUUAAUUUUUUUUGGAUGUUUUUUUAUUAUGUUAUUGAAAUUGGAAAAGAUAGUAAUUUUUUCUUUAUGUUUGUAUGAAUUUAAUAA
rnacentral:rRNA from 1 species